rnacentral:rRNA from 1 species
GACAGAGGGUGCUAGCGUUGUUCGGAAUUACUGGGCGUAAAGGGCGCGUAGGCGGCCAUUCAAGUCGGGGGUGAAAGCCUGUGGCUCAACCACAGAAUUGCCUUCGAUACUGUUUGGCUUGGAGUAGUGGUAGUGGUUGGAUGAACUGCGAGUGUAGAGGUGAAAUUCGUAGAUAUUCGCAAGAACACCGGUGGCGAAGGCGGCCAACUGGACCAUUACUGACGCUGAGGCGCGAAAGCGUGGGGAGCAAACAGG